AUUUGUUUAUUAUAGAUAUAUUAUUUGAUGAUCCUUCGAUGUUGGCUCUUCCUAUCAUUGUGAAGCAGAAUUCACCAAGUGUUGGAUUGUUCACUCACCAAUAGGGAACGUGCGCUGGGUUUAGACCGUCGUGAGACAGGUU
rnacentral:ncRNA from 1 species